GGGUAGUUAGUCUAACAAAAGACCUUCGACUUCGGCUCGGACAAUCCUGGUUUAAUUCCACGACUUCCUU
rnacentral:tRNA from 1 species